CAUCAAAACAUACAGUUCUAUCCUACCAGCAAAUUCUAUUCUGCUUUCAUUACUGCUUCACUGAAGAAGUGAUAUAAUGAACUGGUGAUGCAUCCCUACAUAAUAUGGCUGACAUAAAAGCUGUUUUUCACCAAAGCUACAGUAAUGCUUAUACGGAAAUGACCCUGAGGUUGCAGACCGUGAGACUUUUAUGCACUUGUUUACAGAAAAAAGACUUACUUACACUGCAAUCUCUGGAGGUUAAAGGUAGUAUCUGCAUUUCUGUCCGAGUAAAUAAAACGCAUCAAGAAACUACUUGAAGAAAUUCAUUUUGCAAAGAGCGAGAAACCUUCACUGUGCAGCAAAGGCAAGCAAAUGGCCCAAUGAAUAAAGAUUAACUAAAUACAG